UUUUCGGGGCUGAAAGGAAGGGACUAAAAUGCCUUCCAUUUUAGAGUUUAGAUCCAGCAGGGCUGACAUGUAGAAGAUAGUUACCAUAGGGAUAACAGCGA
rnacentral:rRNA from 1 species